rnacentral:piRNA from 1 species
UGAGACUGGGCCAGUUCUCUUUCUGGAGA